GGAAGUAGCUUGCUACUUUUGCCGGCGAGCGGCGUACGGGUGAGUAAUGCCUGGGGAUCUGCCCAGUCGAGGGGGAUAACAGUUGGAAACGACUGCUAAUACCGCAUACGCCCUACGGGGGAAAGGAGGGGACCUUCGGGCCUUUCGCGAUUGGACGAACCCAGGUGGGAUUAGCUAGUUGGUGGGGUAAUGGCUCACCAAGGCGACGAUCCCUAGCUGGUCUGAGAGGAUGAUCAGCCACACUGGAACUGAGGCACGGUCCAGACUCCUACGGGAGGCAGCAGUGGGGAAUAUUGCACAAUGGGGGAAACCCUGAUGCAGCCAUGCCGCGUGUGUGAAGAAGGCCCUCGGGUUGUAAAGCACUUUCAGCGAGGAGGAAAGGUUGGCACCUAAUACGUGUCAACUGUGACGUUACUCGCAGAAGAAGCACCGGCUAACUCCGUGCCAGCAGCCGCGGUAAUACGGAGGGUGCAAGCGUUAAUCGGAAUUACUGGGCGUAAAGCGCACGCAGGCGGUUGGAUAA
rnacentral:rRNA from 1 species